CCGCCCCGCCACGGGAGUCCAGUGCGCUGGGCUGAGAGGAGGGCACGGGGUCCUCGACCGUCCUACCCGAACCGGGUAAUGCCGGCGCGGGGAGGCGCGCGAUCAGCUCG
rnacentral:ncRNA from 1 species